rnacentral:lncRNA from 13 species
GUUCUGGAGAUAUCAGAGAAGAACCUUUGGGUUGAGCAUUCAGAGAAGAUGGAAGAAAGAAACAAAGAGCUUUCAGGUGCAUCUCAGCACAGAAUCAUUGUGAAAGGCACCCCAUUUCUCCUGAUGUUAGAGCCAUAAAGCCAGCCAAAAUGCCAUUCUUUAAAGCCAAAUGGAAAGAAAAUUACUUUGAAGCACAGGAAGACAUGAACAUUCAGCGUUUCCUUCUGCCCCGUGGCUUUCAGUGAGGCACUCCCAAUGACUUCUAAGGUUUGUCUCCUACAUGCUCUUAGCAGAAGGGUGUAUGGAGACAAGUUUUAUGUCCUUGCAGUCAUCCAUUGAAGACCCAGCUGAUGCUUCAGAAGAUGAGACCAGGAGACCACAAAGGACCAGAAGGCCAGUCAGAUUUGAGGAAUGUACAUGCUGUUGAAGAACAAUCUGAACAGAGAUGCAAAAUACUUGCUCCCAUUGAAUGGCAGCUUGCUAUCAGACAGAUCUCUUAUUUCAAGCUUUAAGAGAUUUGCUACAGCAAAUGACAGAGUGGGUUUGAGUCUAUUGGUAAAUACCAUACACCAUAUUUACACCAUGCAUAAAAAAGGGUUUGCAUCUGUCAUGUGCUUGUCCAUGAAAGAAGUUUUUUUCACAUUUGAAAGGUUAGAAAUCGUCUCCUUCAAGAUAUUCCCAGACCUUUUCUCAUCCUGA